rnacentral:rRNA from 1 species
GACGAACGCUGGCGGCGUGCUUAACACAUGCAAGUCGAGCGGUAAGGCCCUUUCGGGGGUACACGAGCGGCGAACGGGUGAGUAACACGUGGGUGACCUGCCCUUAGCUCUGGGAUAAGCCUGGGAAACUGGGUCUAAUACCGGAUAUGACUCCAUGACGCAUGUUGUGGGGUGGAAAGCCUUGUGCGGCUAGGGAUGGGCCCGCGGCCUAUCAGCUUGUUGGUGGGGUGAUGGCCUACCAAGGCGACGACGGGUAGCCGGCCUGAGAGGGCGACCGGCCACACUGGGACUGAGACACGGCCCAGACUCCUACGGGAGGCAGCAGGUGGGGAAUCUUGCGCAAUGGGCGAAAGCCUGACGCAGCGACGCCGCGU